UACAGAGGGGCAAGCGUUGUUCGGAAUUACUGGGCGUAAAGCGCGCGCAGGCGGUUUUCAAGUCAGUGGUGAAGCCCGGAGCUCAACUCCGGAACUGCCAUUGAAACUGUGAACUUGAGGAUGAGAGAGGUGAGUGGAAUUCCCAGUGUAGAGGUGAAAUUCGUAGAUAUUGGAAGAACACCGAUGGCGAGGCGGCUCACUGGCCCGGUACUGACGCUGAGGUGCGAAAGCGUGGGGAGCAACAGG
rnacentral:rRNA from 1 species